rnacentral:rRNA from 1 species
UACGUAGGGGGCAAGCGUUGUCCGGAAUCAUUGGGCGUAAAGAGCGCGUAGGCGGCCCAGUAAGUCCGCUCUGAAAGUCAGGGGGCUCAACCCCUGAAUGCGGGUGGAUACUGCUGGGCUAGAGUCCGGAAGAGGCGAGUGGAAUUCCUGGUGUAGCGGUGAAAUGCGCAGAUAUCAGGAGGAACACCGAUGGCGAAGGCAGCUCGCUGGGACGGUACUGACGCUGAGGCGCGAAAGCGUGGGGAGCGAACAGG